AGUCUACAAGUUUUCUCGAAAAAUACCUAGUUUUGCCGUUGUUUGACUGUGAAACUCUGUAAGUUACCGUUUGAUGAACAAGAACUAACCUUUAACCAGCCAGAACUCUACAGUUUUUUUUCAAUAAAAUACCCACUUUUCGAGUUUUUCGCGAAUAACCAAUUACCUAAAUCUUUUUUAUGAAAACGUCAUACCUUCGGUCGCCAAUAACUGGAAAAAUAUGAACUUGACCAAAAAAAAUGUAUAGAACACUUUUUUCUUGCUUUUUGCUCAGAAUUAAUUGCUCUAUCUAUUCCCGUGGUCAAACUACAAUAAAAAAAUUUCACCCCCGGGUUAGGGUGGCUACCACCCAGAGCAUAAAAGCACCCUUUGACACGAUAGAGAUGUUGAUCCUUAGACUAUAUUCCGUACCUACUAUCAAAAUUUCAAGUAAAUCAAUUCAUUUUGAACAAAUUUCCGGGGCAAAACCUUCCUUUCCUGAACUAUAGUGAGAAAUUAAAUUUACAUUCUUCAUUUUUUCUCGUAAAUAUUCAUUUACUGAGACCUUUUCCAUCGACAAUAAAUUGGUACGCAAAUUUUAUCCGUAACUCUUUAGCGUCUUAGUUAACUAUUUUGCCCGUUCAGGGUUGUAUGCGAUUACAUUUAAGUAACUUGUAAAAGGUAGUAUACCUACGCAGUAUCUUUGCCCUCUAGGUUCAGUUGUGAUCGAGUUUGAAACGCGAAUGUUGUUGGAGACCACCACUUGUCUCUGAAGGGGUUGGCAAAGUACCUGGUACAGAAGCAGAUUUGGAGUAUAGCGAGGCCCUUCAGGCAUUAAUCAAUUAAUUAUAUACCGAGUCCUGCGACUUUAGAGGUUAUUUAUUUUUGUAAACAGGAAUGGAAAAGUACAAGACACCCAAGCUCUCUAGACCAUUGCCACAUCAGCGUGUCAAGCAUUUGGCAACCAUCCCAGUUAUCGAACUAUCGACAUGGACGGCGUCAACUUCAACAGUGAUAAGUAUUGACCUCGUUGCUAGAAGAAAAACAUAUCCAUCCAAAAACGAGGAAACUACCCCAAACUGCUGCUAAGACCAAAUGUUCUUCGAAUAUGACACAAAGCAACUAUGGGGUUACGCAUUCGAUGCCAAGGUAGCUGAUCAACGCUUAGAUUAUCAGAAAAAUGCAGAAGUCAACUGGGUUUCCGCCAAGACUGGUCUACCACCCCACAUAUGCGCGAAGCCGAAUUCGAGCCAGGGACCCCUAGUACCACUAUCGAUUUUCCACUCAAAUGUGCCAGCGUGCGAGCCACCAUCAUUCCGAAGAAACUUCUGCAAUAUGGAUAAACAAAUAUUUUAUGGCAGUCUCGGGCGAUACCUACAACGACACUAUUCCAAAACUGAUGCGAAAACCGACAAACACAGAGAAACGAGCAACGUAUUCGGAGAAUGCCUUUUUAGAUAGCUGAUCAACUCUGCCAACAAAGCGCAACAUGGAUUUAGAUUGCUACAAAUGGAGUUGUUUCCUUACUGCACCCUUCACUCCACAGAAGAGGAUGAGCCUAAAACAAAAAAUAUAAUGUUACAUACUGCAUUAUAAAUUGUAAUUCAAGAUGAAUGUGA